ACGAACGCUGGCGGCGUGCCUAAUCCAUGCAAGUUGCGCGAUGAAGAUUGGUGCUUGCACCAAUUUGAAGAGCAGCGAACGGGUGAGUAACGCGUGGGGAAUCUGCCUUUGAGCGGGGGACAACAUUUGGAAACGAAUGCUAAUACCGCAUAACAACUUUAAACAUAAGUUUUAAGUUUGAAAGAUGCAAUUGCAUCACUCAAAGAUGAUCCCGCGUUGUAUUAGCUAGUUGGUGAGGUAAAGGCUCACCAAGGCGAUGAUACAUAGCCGACCUGAGAGGGGGAUCGGCCACAUUGGGACUGAGACACGGCCCAAACUCCUACGGGAGGCAGCAGGAGGGAAUCUUCGGCAAUGGACGAAAGUCUGACCGAGCAACGCCGCGUGAGUGAAGAAGGUUUUCGGAUCGUAAAACUCGGUUGGUAGAGAAGAACGUUGGUGAGAGUGGAAAGCUCAUCAAGUGACGGUAACUACCCAGAAAGGGACGGCUAACUACGUG
rnacentral:rRNA from 1 species